rnacentral:tRNA from 1 species
GCUAUUAUAGUUUAAUCGGUAGAAUUUCUCACGUGGAGUGGGGAGGUGUAGGUUCGAAUCCUACUAAAGCCA